rnacentral:sRNA from 1 species
GCGCUGAGUGCCGCCGGAGGCGGCAGCGGGAGAACCAAUUUUGGGGUGAAUCGGCUCCGGCCGACGGGAACUUCCUUUUCCGAACCCGACAGCUAAUCUCGUAAGCGGAG